AGCCCUGUAGUUUAGUGGUCAGAGCACUUGCCUCGGAAGCAAGAGGACCUGGGUUUGAUUUCCAGACAGGGCGA